rnacentral:tRNA from 1 species
GAGGGUAUAGCUCAAGCGGUAGAGCACAUGCUUAGCAUACACAAGGUCCUGGGUUCAGUCCCCAGUACCUCCU